rnacentral:rRNA from 1 species
CGGAGGGGGCGAGCGUUGUUCGGAUUUACUGGGCGUAAAGCGUGCGUAGGUGGUUUCCCAAGUUAGAAGUGAAAGCCCAGGGCUUAACCCUGGAAUUGCUUUUAAAACUGGGUCACUAGAAUUUAGGAGAGGCAGAUGGAAUUCCGAGUGUAGAGGUGAAAUUCGUAGAUAUUCGGAGGAACACCAAUGGCGAAAGCAGUCUGCUGGACUAACAUUGACACUGAGGCACGAAAGCGUGGGGAGCAAACAGGAUUAGAUACCCUGGUAGUCCACGCCGUAAACGAUGUGUGCUAGUUAUCGGGCAAUUUAUUGUUCGGUGACGCCGCUAACGCAUUAAGCACACCGCCUGGGGAGUACGGUCGCAAGAUUA